UUGAACGCUGGCGGCAUGCCUUACACAUGCAAGUUGAACGGUAGAGGGGCAACCCUUGAGAGUGGCGAACGGGUGAGUAAUGCAUCGGAACGUGCCCAGUCGUGGGGGAUAACGCAGCGAAAGCUGUGCUAAUACCGCAUGUGAUCUGUGGAUGAAAGCAGGGGACCGCAAGGCCUUGUGCGAUUGGAGCGGCCGAUGUCAGAUUAGCUAGUUGGUAGGGUAAAAGCCUACCAAGGCGACGAUCUGUAGCUG
rnacentral:rRNA from 1 species